UUCGAUCUGGCUCAGGAUGAACGCUAGCGACAGGCUUAACACAUGCAAGUCGAGGGGCAGCAUAAAAGUAGCAAUACUUGGUGGCGACCGGCGCACGGGUGAGUAACGCGUAUGCAACCUACCUAUCAGAGGGGAAUAACCCGGCGAAAGUCGGACUAAUACCGCAUAAAACAGGGGCACCGCAUGGUGAUAUUUGUUAAAGAAAUUCGCUGAUAGAUGGGCAUGCGUUCCAUUAGGUAGUUGGUGAGGUAACGGCUCACCAAGCCGACGAUGGAUAGGGGAACUGAGAGGUUGGUCCCCCACACUGGUACUGAGACACGGACCAGACUCCUACGGGAGGCAGCAGUGAGGAAUAUUGGUCAAUGGGCGGGAGCCUGAACCAGCCAAGUCGCGUGAAGGAAGAAGGAUCUAUGGUUCGUAAACUUCUUUUGCAGGGGAAUAAAGUGCAGGACGUGUCCUGUUUUGUAUGUACCCUGAGAAUAAGGAUCGGCUAACUCCGUGCCAGCCGCCGC
rnacentral:rRNA from 1 species